GUUGGUUCUUCGAAAAAAUAAAUAAGAUCGACAGACCCUUAGCCAUGCUAACGAAGAGAAGAAGAGAGAGAACUCAAAUUACUAACAUACGGGAUGAAAAAGGCAAUAUCACAACAGAUGCUACAGAAAUACAGAAGACAAUUAGAAAUUAUUUUGAAACCCUAUAUUCCAAUAAAAUAGAAGAUAGUGAAGACAUCGAUAAAUUUCUUAAGUCAUAUGAUUUGCCCAGACUGAGUCAGGAGGAUACACACAAUUUGAACAGACCAAUAUCAAUGGAUGAAAUAGAAGAAGCAAUCAAAAGACUACCAACCAAGAAAAGCCCAGGACCAGAUGGGUAUACAGCGGAGUUUUACAAAACCUUUAAAGAAGAAUUAAUACCAAUACUUUUCAAGUUAUUUCAGGAAAUAGAAAAAGAGGGAGCUCUUCCAAAUUCAUUCUAUGAGGCCAACAUCACCCUGAUUCCGAAACCAGACAAAGACACCUCAAAGAAAGAAAACUACAGACCAAUAUCUCUAAUGAACCUAGAUGCAAAAAUCCUCAAUAAAAUUCUGGCGAAUCGGAUACAAAAACACAUCAAAAAAAUUGUGCACCAUGAUCAAGUAGGAUUCAUCCCUGGGAUGCAAGGAUGGUUCAAUAUACGGAAAUCAAUAAAUGUUAUUCACCACAUCAAUAGACUUAAAGAUAAGAACCAUAUGAUCAUCUCGAUAGACGCAGAAAAAGCAUUCGACAAAGUACAGCAUCCCUUUAUGUUCAAAACAUUAGAAAAACUAGGGAUAACAGGAACUUACCUCAACAUUGUAAAAGCUAUCUAUGCUAAGCCUCAGGCUAGCAUCAUUCUGAAUGGAGAAAAAUUGAAGGCAUUCCCUCUAAAAUCUGGAACAAGACAGGGAUGCCCUCUAUCACCACUUCUAUUCAAUAUAGUUCUCGAAACACUGGCCAGAGCAAUUAGACAGACGAAAGAAAUUAAAGGCAUAAAAAUAGGAAAAGAAGAACUUAAAUUAUCACUAUUUGCG
rnacentral:lncRNA from 1 species